rnacentral:rRNA from 1 species
CAGUCGCCGCGGUAAUACGAAGGGUGCAAGCGUUAAUCGGAAUUACUGGGCGUAAAGCGUGCGUAGGCGGUUUGUUAAGUCUGUUGUGAAAUCCCCGGGCUCAACCUGUGAAUGGCAAUGGAUACUGGCAAGCUAGAGUGUGUCAGAGGAUGGUGGAAUUCCCGGUGUAGCGGUGAAAUGCGUAGAGAUCGGGAGGGACAUCAGUGGCGAAGGCGGCCAUCUGGGACAACACUGACGCUGAGGCACGAAAGCGUGGGGAGCAAACAGGAUUAGAGACCCCUGUAGUCCCUGUCUCUUAUAC